UUGUGGAGGAGGACGCCGAAGGUGGGGCUAAUGACUGGGGUGAAGUCGUAACAAGGUAGCCGUACCGGAAGGUGCGGCUGGAUCACCUCCUAACAGGGAGACAACAAAACGUAAAUAUUAAUUUUGUCACCUUAGGUCGAUCGGUAUCUCAGAUUCUUAUUUUUUAAGAAUUUCAGUUUCUAAGUUUUUUCUAGGUCACACCCAUCACUUUUUCCUGGGCCAUUAGCUCAGGUGGUUAGAGCGCACCCCUGAUAAGGGUGAGGUCCCUGGUUCAAGUCCAGGAUGGCCCAUAUCUCUAUGUUGGGGGUAUAGCUCAGUUGGUAGAGCGCCUGCUUUGCAAGCAGGAUGUCAGCGGUUCGAGUCCGCUUACCUCCACUGAUUACCACCUCUUCCAUAAAUUUAAAGAAGGGAAAAUUUUUGAGUUGUGAUCAAAUUCUGAACGAAUCUAGCUUCCUAAUUAAAAAUAUUAAGAUGCUGGACUCAUUGAAUUUAUUCAUUGUUUUCAGAGAACCUUGACAACUGCAUAGAUUAUUUUUAAAGACAAUAGGCAUCUUUAAUGAUGCAGAUUUAUUAUUGGUGCAAAUGCAUUAAUAACAAUUCUAUUAAGCUGAUGCUUCAAUUUUGAAGUUAUUGGUCAAGCUACAA
rnacentral:misc_RNA from 1 species